GAAACGGUGAUUAAUACCGGAUACUCCUUCUCUCUUAAUGAGAGUCGGGAAAGUUUUUCGCUAAGGGAUCGGCCUAUGUUGUAUCAGGUAGUUGGUGAGGUAAUGGCUCACCAAGCCUAUGACACAUAGCGGGUCUGAGAGGAUGAUCCGCCACACUGGUACUGAGACACGGACCAGACUCCUACGGGAGGCAGCAGUGGGGAAUAUUGCACAAUGGGCGAAAGCCUGAUGCAGCAACGCCGCGUGGAGGAUGCCACAUUUCGGUGCGUAAACUCCUUUUAUAUAAGAAGAUAAUGACGGUAUUAUAUGAAUAAGCACCGGCUAACUCCGUGCCAGCAGCCGCGGUAAUACGGAGGGUGCAAGCGUUAUUCGGAAUCACUGGGCGUAAAGGGUGCGUAGGCGGUUUGGAAAGUCAGAUGUGAAAGCCUACAGCUUAACUGUAGAACUGCAUUUGAAACUUCCAGACUAGAAUACUGAAGGGGCAGAUGGAAUUAGUGGUGUAGGGGUAAAAUCCGUAGAUAUCACUAGGAAUACCGAAAGCGAAAGCGAUCUGCUGGGAAGUU
rnacentral:rRNA from 1 species